CCCAAAUAUAACUGAACAUAAAUCAUUUUCGAAGUUGGGACUAAUCAACUAAACUGAAAUGAAUGAAAACAGACUGAACUGUUUGACUGUUAUGUCAGUUAAAUACGAUCUCAUGCGCAAGGUUGAAUUCAACGACCUCGUGCAUGACUUCGUCUUAAAAAAAUCAGAAAAAGGGCCUUUUGAACAUGACUUGGAUGGAUCAGUCUUCAGCAGGGUCACAUCAGAGAUGUUCUUUUCCUUGGCUCUUUUGCAUUUACUGACCCCAGAUGCCUCAUCCAGCUCCCCUGUGGGACUCUUUCUUUUACCCUGCUGCUUCUGUGGGAUUAACCUGGGGUCAUUGGAAGCCCAGAUCCUGGAAACCGCUUUUGAUGUCUUGGGCUGAUUCACCUUCUCUGCAAGAAAACGGUCCUUCAGCUGCAGCCAGGGAAGAUAGGACACCUGACCACCUUUUGCACUGUCCUCUACAUGAAGAACAGCACUCUGGGACAGUUGAGUCAGGUCUUGGUUUGUCUCACCAUCUGUUCGGCUGGAAAACGUAUCUUCAGCAGCCGCCAUGGGAGAUAGGAUGUGACCUGACCAGCAUUUGCACUGUCCUCUCCAUGCUGAACAGCAUUCUGGGACAGUUGAGUCGGGUUUGGACUCCUCACAGCCUUCUGAACAGAGCUCUGACCAUUACUGAACUCAUUGCUGCCAGACAUCUUUUCUGACAUCCCAGCCAGGUUCUUUCUCUCUAAAUGCUGUUUGUAGGUCUUGGUUUGUCUCACCAUCUGUUCGGCUGGAAAACAUAUCUUCAACAGCCGCCAAGGGAGAUAGGAUGUGACCUGAAAUGUGUGGAGAGUCCGUUGAUUUAAGGACUCAAUGCUUAAUGGCAAAGCUGACAUUUAUGUUUAGGUCUUAUGUUACCAAAUAUACCAUGUUUAAACCAUGUUUUGCAGUGUUUGCUUACAUUUACACCUUAAAAUAAAACUAAACAUUCUUGUAAUGAAUGGGCCAUGCAGAUUAACUACAUUCAUGAGACAAGAUGUAUUAUUUCCAGAAUGAAAAUCUAUUUGAAGAACUUCAAAAGAAGAGGAAUACAAUUACUCACAUUCUCAUAUUUUUGCGUCUCUUCGUCAAAAUUUGGAUUCAUAUUUCGGUUUGCGGUUGAAUGGAGGUUAGCAGUUUAAUAUGGUGUACUGAAGUUUAAAGAUUCUAUCAAUGUGUUUUCAUUGUAGGGUAUUGUGACGUCAUUCUGGAAUUACACAUCAUAAUCAGGUCCGUCAUAAUCACAUCCAUCAACCAAUAAAAACAUGGUUGAAUAAAUGGUUUAACUUUUACACGACAGAUUUUAUGUUGCU
rnacentral:lncRNA from 1 species